UGUUCAUUCUCUGCUUGGGUGGUUCCCAGAUAUUGCCAGGCCUCCAUGUGAUCUGGCUUCUGUUGUACUGCAGCCUCAAACAGCAGGACAGCAUUGGGGAGGUCACCUUCCUCCAAGCGCUUUCGCCCUUCUUCAAAUGCAUCAGGAUGAUCUCUCAUGGGAUUAUCUUCUUCAAACUGGUAACCCUUGUCAUAUGAAGAGGAGCUGAGGUCAUCGUAAUCAGUAAGCCAAGGAUGAGCCUCUGCAUCUCUCUUGGCCAUCUCCUCCCAUUCUGCCUGGAGUUUGUCCCAGAAAUCCACAUCUGACUGAAGGGAGAACAAAAAGUGACUGGAGUACCUCAACUUUUAAUUGAGUUCUACAACCACCACAAAGCAUGCCUUCUUAAAUGUUUCUAGCCCUCCUCACAACAUGCAUAGGAGAGUCAACCCUGUCAUGGGCU
rnacentral:lncRNA from 1 species